UCCCUUGCGCAGUGGCAAUAUCGUAACCAAUGUAGGUCUCCUGAGGUGCGAUUAUUACUAGUUGAAAACUUUUAAAGGCACCACGGUAGCCGAGCGGGUUAAGAGGCGACACCUGUAAAGCUAAUACGAGU
rnacentral:snRNA from 1 species